AAGGCCCUUUGUCUUGGGGAAAGCGGCAAUUGAUCAGUUCUCUUAGAGCCAGAUAGCUGGGCUUUUCAGGGCAGAUGCUAAUGCUGCCCUUUAGAAAGCUCAGGAAUGCAGGUGACCUUCUUGGGUAACAACCUCCUUCCUCGCGGCUUGUCUGUCAUGUUGUCUGCACAGGGAUAUGCUUGGAGAACGUAGGGCCUCAGGGUCCUACGGAAUAAAAUCAACGAUUUGUUGAAGCUCCCUAUGAAGCCAGAACUUACAGAGGAGCCAUUGGGAUGUGACGGGGGUAGAAAGAGAAGAGUCAACGGCGUGUGUGUGGUCUCCAGUUUAGAAGACAGAGAGAGUGCUGCUCCCAGGACUGGAAUGGGGAUGCUGAUCGGCACCAUCUUGUUCACUGUCGAAUCCCCCAAGUUCAGCACAGUGACGAGCGCCUAACAGAUGCUUUAGACAUAUUUUUGGAUGAUUCAAUAAAUAAAUGAACAAAACUGAAGUCAGCAUGUGCUCUCAGAGAAAGUGAAGGAAUAAAUCAGGGGUCAAAAACUCUUUCCCUGGGGCCAGCCCGGUGGCGCAGCGGUUAAGUUCGCACAUUCCACUUCGGUGGCCGGGUGCCGGUGUUCACCGGUUCGGAUCCCGGAGGCAGACAUGGCACCGCUUGGCAAGCCAUGCUGUGGUAGGAGUCCCACAUAUAAAGCAGAGGAAGAUGGGGACGGAUGUUAGCUCAGGGCCAGUCUUCCUCAACAAAAAGAGGAGGAUUGGCAGCAGUUAGCUCAGGGCUGAUCUUCCUCAAAAAAAAAAAAAAAAACUCUUUCCCUUCAGGGCCCCUAUUAGUCAGGGCUCAGCUGCAGAUAAGAGUAACCAAUCCACCUAGUUUAAGCAGAAAUGAAUUUAAUUCCAGGAAUUAAGUGCCUACAGAGUCAUUGGAAGUGAUGGAGGAACAGAUAAUCUCUAGGCUGAGAAGAGAUUCCAAAAAACCCCACAGAACUGGUCCACCGAGGGAAAGGAAUUGCUACUUCUGCUAUAAUCAGGAAGCUACAGGGGUAGGAGGCAACUGCUGGCUCCAUGUCUACACCACUGGCGGUUGGGGGUCAAAAAGCUGCCCCUAGAACAGCUGGCUCCAGAGCCGCGUUGUACCUGCUGGAAUCCACCACAGCAAAACAGCUGCUGCCACUCUCCCCUGCGAGUCCCAGUAAGUGUGUCCCAUGGUGACUGAGUCCCUCCUGGAGCCACACCUGCAGCGAGUUUGGGAAAUGCAGACCCUAGCUUUCCAGCCUCUGCCGUGGAGGAAGUUAUCCCAGAAGGAGGUUGGAACAGAAGCUGAGUGAGCCAACCGACGCUCUCCACUACAGGUGCCAAGCAGAUGCAUGUGCUGCACCUGGAACCUCAAGCACCAGGCAUCUUCGUGAACACCCCCUUCCGACCCAAGCGCACACACUGAGGAAAGGCCGUGCGAGGGCCCUGUGAGAAGGUGGCCUUCUGGAAACCGGGAAUAGAGUCCUCAUGGAACCAACACUGCCAGGACCUUCAUCGUGGACGUCCAGCCCCCAGAACUGGUCAAGGUUCUGCAGACUUCUCAACAGAUCUCUGAAUCCGCCUGGUCCAGGUCCCCCGCCCAGGGAGCCAUACUCAGAACAAGAGCAGCUGGGAGUCAAAGCACAUUUGGUUCACGUCCAAAGUAGCAUCCGACAGCCCUCCAGGAGGGGGCUCCCUGGGAGAAACCAGGUUGGCCAGGAGGCUCCAGCUAUCUGAGCUCCUCCCCCUGAAACUGAACUGAACUGAAGGUGUCUGGGGCUGUAGGGCAGCCUAGAAGCAGUGAGACCACCAGCGGCAGGCGUGGGGAGGGCAGACCCCACCUCUGUGCGCUUGCCACAUAGGUACAGACAGCGCCUGGGGGCUUCCUUCCAAGGUGGUGUGACUGCCCAUUAGCAAAAUGCGGCCAAGCGAAUGCCAAGUUCUGAUCAGUCAGGUCAGCAACUCCCCUCCCCCAGAAUGAGGAACACCCUCCUCCCAACAUCCCCUGGCUAAACCACCGUUCCCGCCUUCCGUGGGUUUCCAUGCUCUGCCCCCUCCCACUUGCUGUCCUGGCUGCUUCAGUUCAUCAACAUCCCCCCGAGAGUGUGGAGCCCAGAAUGGGUACCUUGUUCUCCCUUGUUUUGCUUGAAUGCAGGAAAUAAAUCUCCGUUUCAG
ensembl:lncRNA